CCCAGCUAUUUCUUUAUAGCAAUGCAAGAAUGGCCUAACACAUUAUAAUUUCCUUUUUAUUGGGUUACAUUCUAUUUGCCAAGAAUGCAACCUUAUACGUGAACUACAGUAAUUAACCAUUUACCAUUCAGACUUUGGAAAUGUGAAUAUUGCUAUAACAAAAUAGUCAUCAACAGACAUUCACCCCUUUCUGAAAACCAAGAAGGAUAAAAACUACAUAUGAACAAUAGAACACAAAUGACAGAUGGGGCUGAGGCAGGAUUAGGAUGUCACUGAGAUGUGUAAAUGGGCCAAUUUCCCAAAACAAAUUAAAGCAAAUACACCUAACUUUUGCAUUCCCUGUACCUAGCACUGCACUGACAGAGUUAAAAGUCAGCUCAAUUCAUAGUGAAGCCUUCUUCCUUCCUCUUACAAUCAAUUGCAAUUAAUUAAUCUUUCUUCUCCUCAAUUCAAGAUUAUACAUUCUUUGAGGGCAGGAAUCACAUUUGCCUCAUGUACCCUCAUGGCUCAGGACCUAGUGCACAUAGUAGAUACUCAGCAAAUGUUGUUGAUAUGGAAAUUAAACGAUAGGAAGUCAGGAAAGAAUGAAGGAAUGAUUGAACUCUUACUAUUGAGCUGCCAGGUAUUUUGAUAGAUGCUUGUACAUUACAGUAGCUACUUCACAUUAUUCUGCAUGGCAACUCUGAAAAAAAGUAUUAUCAUAAUUUUACAGUUAGGAAGACUGGGAAGGAUAACUUAUGCUUUUAUUUACUAUUUGCUUAGUCCUAUGCUAGGAAAUUAUAUAUGUUAUCUAUAUGUUGACCCUUGAAAUACCAUGAAAUGAGUGUUUUUUUCCUUUACAAAUUUAAAGAAAAAGCUGGCAUACAGUUAAUAAGCAUUGCUUGUAAGAUUUAAAUACAUGCCUUCUGAUUACACAUUGAAUGCAAAUAAUGAAAUUUUCACUGAAUGAAUUCAUGGAUCAAUGAUUAUCAAUUCAUUUAUUGAUACAUAUUUAUUUUUCUAUAAAACUAUUACAAAAAGCAACUUUGCCAGUAGCACUUAUCCAAACAACUUUAAAUCUUCACCUGAAAAAUUAAAAUUUAUACGUGAAAAAUUAAAAACACCCUCAUUUUAGCUUCCACUUAUAACUUGAUUCACAUUUAAAUCAUAUCAGAUUUAAUUUUUCAAUCACAAUCUCAGAAAAUUUUUCAUAUGAUCUCUAAGUAAUACAUUCUGGUAUUUAAGAGGCUUCAUUCUCAUACAUACAUCCUCAUUAAAACCCAUUUUCUCUCUUAAUUGAGAAUAAAUGCAAUGAUAAUAAAUUUUAAAAAUCUUAUUCUUUAUUUUGCAGAAUAUAAUCUUACCUCUAUGUUCAAUGCCAUUUGUAAAUAAAACUGAACUUUAAAAAACUUAUUUUAAUAGCAACAAUACUAUUUGUAAAUUUUGUUUGUUUCAUGCUCUUAGGAAAACAUUCUAAUAAUUCCACAUUCUCAUUUCCUGGUCCCAAGCUCCAAAGCCUUCCUCAUUUUUUAUUUGUCACACCAGUCUGUCACUUCACUGACAUUUACUGACACCUCGUUCCUUUUCCUACCUUUGUUCGAGGUCUUUCUUUUCACAGUUCUCUGUUAGAAGGUCUUCCUUUUCAAUGGAGUUCACGGUGUUAGAAAGUGUGGGCACAAAAAUGCUUGCAUGGUCCUUUGGAUGAGCUAAAUCAAAAGGGCAAAGUGACACAUUUGAGUCAGAUUGCUCUCUAAUCCGUACUUUAUUUUCUAAGUUAAAGAAAAUGAAUAAUAACAUUUUUGAUCACAGAAUGUAUUCUGUGUAUAUGUAAACACUUGAAGCUUUUCUAAUAAUUAUGUAUACAAGAUCUAAUUUAAUCUCAAGAAUUAAUGUCAGAUUCAGAACAGAAUUUUAAAAUGUUGCUGAUCCAUUUUAAAGUCUGAAUGAAUUAGUCAUUAGCAGAAUGCAAAUUAGAAUCACAAGAUGCCGCUACACAUUCAUUAAGAAACCUCAGUAAAAUGGACAAUUCUCUAGGCAAAUACAAAUUAUCAAAAUGGAACCAGUCAUUGGAAACCUGAAUAGAUUGAGGAUUAACUUUUGCUCAACCAAUCAAUAAAAAAGAUGAAUACUUCACUUAAAAGAUGAAUCAAACAUAAAUGGUCAUUCAUAUAAACAAAAACAGCCAAUAAACAUAUGGAAAACCACACAUUCAUUAGUAAGUAAAGAAGUUAAAAUAAAAAGAGCAAUGAAAUAUCGUAUUUUAAAUUAUUGAGUGACACAAAUUUUAAAAGGACAGUAGUAUCCACAUUUGCUGAAGAAAUUUAGGAGGCAAAUACUGGCACAUACAGUUGAUAAUAAAAUGAAUUGUUAAAACUUUCUUGUUAAUAAGCUGUCAAUAUGAAUAUAAAAACUUGAAUAAAGUUUUUUGCUAUAAGAAUGUUCAUCAUAGAGAACACUAUUUUAAAAGAGUAAAGAAUUGAUGUGAAUCUAAAUUUCCUUAUAUAAAUUUUGUUAUAUAUAUGUGUAUUAAAAAUGAAUUUAUGUUUUAAUAUGUUAAUGAGUAUUGAACUUUAAAAGUUGUACACUACUGUAAUGAGAAUCAACAAAACGCCACUACACACAGCAAUGUGGAUGAAUCUCAUAUACAUAUUUGAGUAAAUGAAGCCAAUCACCAAUGAAUAUGUACUACAUGAUUCCACCUUUCUGAAGUGUGUAAACAGGCAAAAACAAUCUCUGCUGUUAAAAACCAAGAUAACUUGACUUUUAACUUGCCAUUAUCUCUUAUGGGAGAUGAUAAUUGGAAGAGAGUAGAAAGGGAGCAUCUGGGAUUCUGGUAAUGUUCUUUUUUCUUGAAAUCAACUUUGGUUACAUGAUUGUGUUUGGUUUCUGAAAAUUCACCUAGCAAAUGACAGAAGCCAAGGUUUGCAUGUAUGAAGCUCUAGAGAAAAGGUAGAAAGUGAUAUAAACAAGUUAGUAUAUAACAAAUAGUUUAAAUAACUCUCCUUGGCCUGAUUCUAUGCCUCCAUAUAAGAUAGCAUGGAUAAAAUAUUUAGUUUAUUCUUCCAUUAUCUUUUCAUUCAUUCAACAGUUAUUAACUGCAAAUUUAUUAUAGCCUGAUCUAGUUCUAGUUCAUGAAGUGAGCAAAACUAACAGGUCACUGCUCCUAUGGAACCCAUAUUCCAGUGGGAAAGAUAAACAAUACACAUUCUAACAUUCCAUUAAAACUUAAAAUAUCAGCUAGCGUUAAAUGCUCUACAGAGCAUUUGAUUUUUAAAAAUAUGGUGGUGACUGAGUUGUUGCUUAAGAUUAGGUUGACAGAGAAGGUCUCUCUGAAGAGAUAAAUGAAUAUCUGGCAAAAGAGUGUCAGCCAUUAAUAAUCAAGUGGAGGGAACAUCAAUUUCAAAGAAAAAAUGACUUCUGGGUUUGAAUGCAGGCACCUGGUAGAUCAGUGCUGAUGUUUAGGUAGCAGUAUAGGAAGAGUGACUGGCUGAUGUAGCCCAAUAGGAAAAGGCUGCAUUUCUCAAGUGUGAACUAAGUUUUUAAGUGCAUUUGAAUGAGUCUGGCCAUGAUAUCUUUGAAACUGAUUUGAAAGGCUAAUGUCCUUGGCAGAUAUAAUCAAAGUCAUUGGAGGAAUUGGUGUUGAAGAAACCUAUUAGGCAGAAGAAAAUUCAUGUAAAAUUUGAAUUGACCUAAAUAGGGGCUGAAAGCUGAUUGGGAGAUUAAGAGGAAAUGUGAAACCAAAGUUUGUUAUUGCAGUAACAAUGAGGAUAUAGUUCAGGAUACUUUUGCCUUAAUUUAAGUGGAACGACCCAGCAUUCCUGUCUAUAGGUAUAAUGUUUUCCUGCUUAAGCUCAUACAGUAAAGUUAUUAGUGGUUCCUUUUUGUGGUCCUUUUGUCAGCUCUGUGAUUGAUUCAUUAAAACUGAUGCUUGGGAAAACACAGAUUCCAUGUUUUAAUUUGACAAGCAUUUAUUGAGCUUGGUGAUGGGCACUGGCGAGAUGAUGAUGAGUAAGAGCUUGUCUCCUGCCCUCAAGCAUCUCACCCUCUGGAGGGAAAUAAUGACAAGUAAGUGGGCAGUUACGUGACACAGAGUUAACGUGAAACUCAGGGGUGAGAAUUAGGGAAGGGAAGAGGAGCUUAACCCUCUGGGGCAAGAGGUUGGAGGAAUUAGGGGAUGCUUCCCAGAAGGAAUGACUCCAAAGACCUGAGAAUGAGCAUGAGUUAUUCAGUGACUGCUGGAUGUGGAAGUGGAGGGAUAGUGGAGAAGAGGGCAUUUAUAGAGAAUGAAAAGCACCUCAUAGCCUUGGAAUGAGAGAUCCUAUAAUGUAUUCAAAGAACUAGAAGCGGUCCACAGUGGAUGGAGCCCAGUAUGUAAUGUGAGAAGUUGUGAGACAUGAAACUGGAGAAGUAAGCUGGAUGUGGAAGACGAAAAGCAUCAUUAAUCAUACCACAGGGGUUGGACCUCACUGGAAUCAAGCAAUGGUUUUGUUGCCUGAUGCUCACAGAAGCUAAUACUGUGGCACUGGCUUUUGAGAAAAGUAAAGAAAAAAGCCUUAUUGAGAAUCAACUGGUAAGGAGACAGGAGGCAAGUUCAAAUCCAUCUCCCUAAGUCGGGGUCUGGGGGCAGGUUUUAUAGCCUGAGACUAACAAUGGGAAGGGUAGGAAAAUGCACUGAGGAGUGAGCUGGCUGGGUCAUGCAAAGGGUAGUGAUGGACUUUUGGCUUUUAAGUCUGCAAUGCAACAAAAGAGGGUACUAAUCACUUCUUAAUUACAUCCCUGUUCUUUGAUUCAAGUACUUAGGUUCCACCUGUGGUUGGCUUUUUUAUUCCGCUGGCUCUGGGGUCUCGAAUCAGACAUACUUGGUUCAUCUGGACCUGUUCACGUUACAUGAUAUGCAACCUGCGGGUCCAUUGCACUGCAAAGCAACUCGUCCUUUUGUUACUAACAAAGUUAAACCACACCGAAUUGGGGUCUGUGGUUACAUCACCUUGAGUGCAAAGGAAAGUCAUUACAAGGUUUUAAAUAGGAGUGCGAGAGGAUCAUAUUUGUACUUUAGAAAGACUUCGGCUACAAAGUGAAUACUGGUUGGAAACAGGCUUGCAUUACUAGCAUAUAUGUCUUGUGUGAAUUAGAAAAACAACUUAUAAAUUAGAAAAACAUGCCACCUCUGGGCAGCCUAAUGAUCCAGUAGUGCCCCCUGCAGCCCUGAUUCUGGGAGCUGAGGCUGGACUAUAUUUCAGGCCUCACUCACUCCUGCCCUGCAUGGCUGAGUGUCUUCAGGCAGGGCUCAACCUUCACAAUGGUUCACAAUGACUGUUUGGAAGAGGGUUUUGUAGGGAAUAUAGGUUAGAGAUGCUGGGGGCAUGAACUAGGGAUAGAGACAGGUGGAACACUUUUUGAGACAUUAAGAAUUGACAAGACUUGGUGACUGACUGGAUAUAGAGAGUAAAGAAGCAAGAAUAGGGAUGUCUUAUAUUUGUGUGUGUGUAUUAGAAUAUGCAGCACUCCAUCCUUCCUCUUCUCUCUUUUUUACUCUGUGUCCCCAGAAUGUAGUCCCAUUUUCCAAAGUGUUCACUGUAAAAUUGAGAGGGAUUAGGAGUUAGGGCUCGUGUCAGAUAGUGAACAAAUAACUGCAUUUGGGUGUCAGAAUUCUGUAUGAAGAAUGGGACACAAAUGGGGGAGUGUUCUAUUCUGUCUGAGUGUGAGGGAGGGAAGCAGGAGAGGCAGUAGAAAUGGGAUUUUGAAAAAGGGGAAUGUGAUUAGGGGGCAGAAAGGGAGGCUGAAGAAGGUGGGGUUAGAAGUAAGGAAGGAAUGGUAAAGUAUGGCAUUUCUGACAAAGGCCCAGAAAUAUAAAACUGUGUGCACUUCUGGGGAAACUGAAAGUCUUUGACUGAUUACAGCUGGGAGAUCAGUGGGGAUGGUGUAAUAAGAGAUGUGGAAGUCGAAGCUAGGGCCAAAUGAUGAUGAGCCUUGCAGUCAUUCAUUUGACAAAUAUUUGCCAUCAUGCAAGGUGCCUGGCAAGAAGUGAUGAAUAAAGCAGGCAAAGUCUCUGCCUUUGUGACAUUUAUACCUUAUCUUGAAAGCAGUGUGGGAACUAUUGUGAUUUUGUUCAAGUUAAUCUGUGGGGAACAUGGAUUGGGAAGGAUUGACGGAAAAGAAAGACCUAUUGGGACCAUCUUUUUCAGAAGAAGAUGAUGGAGGCUGACUGAGGCAGUCACUGAAGAGGAAUGGAGAAGAGAUAAGGGUUAAGGAGAUUUCACAGACAACACUCAUUCACUGAUUUGACAUAAACGGUGGAGAAAUUGGAGAGUCAAGAGAUGGCCUCCUGGUCUCUGGUUUGAAUAACUGGAUGCAUUCAAUGUGAUUGGAGGCACAGAAGAAUUUGCUGCUCGAGAGGUUACUGUAAUAGUUAAUGUUUCUGGGUUUGCUUUGGCUUGAAGACUGUAUGCCCAAGUGCCCACCUAAAAAUUUCAACCGAAAUAUAGUGAACAUGAAAACCCAAGGAAUGAGAACUCUGACCUGAAGGGACUUCUGGGAGAGUUCAGUAUUUCCUGAUGUAAGGGCCCCAAAAGCAUCAAUGAGGCCAUUGUUCUGGGCUUUAUCUGAAGCAUAAAAAUGAUGUCCUCCUAAAAUCCAACUGAACUCCAAGUGCCAUGAGAACAGAGAUUGGGUCUGGUCCCCAGCUUCAGUACCUUCAGGGCAGAAACUCAAGAGAAGUUGUUGAACUGUCAGCCUUUACAUGUAUGCAUUGCUAUUGAAGGCCUGGAAUAAAUGGAACAUGUUUUACCUGUUA